UCCACCGGGAGGUGAGUUUGAGGAAAUUGUUACCGCAUGGAUUAGAUGUUCUGUUUCCUAAAUUCUGGAACGACGAAUCGACGAUUGGACUGGACAGCAGAGUGACCGCCAUGACGGAUGUGACAGCCGUUAUCUGCCCGCUUAAGCCUCUAAAUUGAUUUUUGGAGACUUAAAAGAAAAACUGUAGUAAAAGGUUUAGGCCCACUGGCUGAGCGGUUGGUUUAUAAAAAAUAAUUUAUUAUUUAAUAAUUAUAUUUUUAAAGGACUGUAAAAUUUUAAUAUGUAUUUGAUAAAUAAACUAAAAAAUAUUUUUGAUAUGAUAAAAUGACCAUAAAAAAUAUUACAUAGUAUUAUAUAACAGAGCAUUAUAAAAUAUAAUCUAUAUUAAUAUAUAAAUAUAUGAUAUAAUAUAAUAUUACUAUAAUAUAAUAUCGUAUUAUUAUAAUAUAGUAAUAUAAUAUUAUGUACUGUAGCAUAAUAUGCAGAGUUUUCAUUGAUAGACUUUUUAAUCAUUUCUAUAAAAAAAAAGGUAGAAAACCGAGAACCAAAGGGAUACAAUAGUGAGAAUACCCGUAUUCAA
rnacentral:lncRNA from 1 species